UGCUGCCGAACUGGUUCGGAGACAGCUGCUGUUUCGGAUCAACCGUUCUUUCUUCGGUUCAGUAAGCGUUUCGAUUUGAAAGCCCUUUUGUUACUGUUCUGUUAUCUCACGCUGAGGUUUGUGGCGUUAAUUGCUAUGAGAUUGAGUUUCAGUUGUUAUAUGUUGCGAUUAGAGUUGCUGUGGUUGUUGCGAAAGUGGCUGGGAGCUGAGGUUUUGGUUGCCGUCAGUUCGGGUUGAGGUGGAAAGGACUCCAUGAGGUGUUUGGGUUAUGGAAUUGCGUUUUGAGGAUAUGGGCGCAGAAGUUACGAAGAGUUUAUUUAGUUGUUGUUGAGAUGCUCUGUAUCGCUUUAGUAUAUUUUUGUCCCCUCGCCUUUGUCUUUAUACUUCUGUAAGAGGGAUAGAAAUUGUAUUGGUUAAUGCUUGUAAUAAUAUUUAUAUAUAUGUAUGUAUACAUAUGGAUGUACUCUUUAUGAGUUUCUGUAAGUUGUAUGGUAUCUAUGGAUGUACGUUAUCAAACGAAAGUAUUCUUGGGAGCGGUGUUGCGGUUUAAAGUUU